rnacentral:misc_RNA from 1 species
AAUAAAUCUUUGACUAUUUUUUAGUCAAGGGAUAUUGGGUUUUCCGCACUUUUAGUUAGCGGUAACUUGAAAUAUAUGGUUAGUCUCAUUUGGUUGAGAUGCGUAAUAAUAUUAUUUCGCGAAAUCAUCAAUGAGAUGUUACCAAGUUUUGACGCAUACAGCCUAAGCUGAAUGUGGUUAAUACAAAUAUUUUGA